GACGAACGCUGGCGGCGUGCUUAACACAUGCAAGUCGAGCGGUAAGGCCCUUUCGGGGUACACGAGCGGCGAACGGUGAGUAAACACGUGGGUGGACCUGCCCUUAGCUCUGGGAUAAGCCUGGGGAAACUGGGUCUAAUACCGGAUAUGACUCCAUGACGCAUGUUGUGGGGUGGAAAAGCCUUGUGCGGCUAGGGAUGGGCCCGCGGCCUAGUCAGCUUGUUGGUGGGGUGAUGGCCUACCAAGGCGACGACGGGUAGCCGGCCUGAGAGGGCGACCGGCCACACU
rnacentral:rRNA from 1 species